UAAUAUUGUAAAAGCAACUAUGCCUGUGUUCGAGAAAUAAAAUCUUAAUAUGCCUGCGUUAAGGAUAAAACUUUCAGCCGGGCUGAGUGUGCUUGCAAUCCUGUAAGGUUUUUAGCAAUUUUGUCCACUCAGAGGUCUGGCAGUGGAUGGUUUGAAACAUUGUUGAACAGUCAUACGAAUAGAAGUUCUAACGGGGAGAUUUUUUCUGUUAAAGUCCGGAAAAGUAAUGCAUGCAUCAACAAUUUUGGAAACAUUGGACCAACUCUAUGACCUAGACUUUCCAAGAAUGAAUGUACAGCUGCAGUUGGUCUGAAAUGAAUGCUUAAUCAGGAAGGAUAUAAUUUCUUCAUCUUCAACUUUCUCUAUUAUUGUAAACGAAAAGGAACAAGUCUACAUCCAUUCGCCUCUUACUUCAAAUGGUUGUAGUAGAGUUUCCGGCUGCUCCGCCGGAGUCGUUGGCGUCGGAGACCGGUCCUUAACACUUUCAAUUUCUAUGCAAUUGAGCCAUUGAGCAAGGAGAAUUGUAUAUGGACAUUUAAAGCAUCAUGUCGGCGGAGGAAUGACCUCUUUAAGUGGAUAUAGUCAUAUUAGUUGGAAACUAUGUUACUGAAAUCUCAAAAACUGAUGUCUCGGUCUUGCCGGAUCCUUCAAACAUGCAUGCACCAUUUUAAAGAGUCCAAGCAAGCUAAAUUAUUGGACGCGAUUCAACUGAAAGGAAAAGAAAAAAGUUAUUUUUGUCUUUUACUUGUACUAUACUAUUUUCUAUUUGUAGAAAGUCUAUCUUAUUCUUUCUUUUUAUAUUUUACAAGUUCAUCCUAUUGUAUAUGC